CUCUAUCCAGUUUAUUCAGUAUUACAAACUUUGCAGAGCAUAUAAUGCUCUUAAAAUUCACAAUUGCUGAGAGCUAAAUAGUUGUUACUAACUGCCAUCAAGACAAAUUUGACGUAUGGUGACCAUAUGAGCCGGAGACGUCCAAGUCAUGCUGUCAUCAACAGUCUCACUUAGUUUUUGAAAAUUCAUGGUCUCUUUUAUUGCGCUUGUCCAUCUGUAAUAAAGAAUCAUAGAAUCAUAAGAGUUAGAAGAGACCUCGUGGGCCAUCUAGUCAUCCAUCUGCCAAGAAGCAGGAAAAUCACAUUCAAAGCAGAUGGCCAUCCAGCCUCUGCUUAAAAGAGGAGCCUCCACCACACUCCAGGGCAGAGAGUUCCACUGUCGAACAACUCUCAGUUAGGAAGUUUUUCCUGAUGUUCAGGUGGAAUCUCCUUUCCUGUAGUUUGUAGCCAUUGUUCCGCGUCCUAGUCUCCAAAACCGCAGAAAAAAAGCUUGCUCCCUCCUCCCUAUGGUCUUGCUAAUCCCUACUAUCUUCCCAAGCUUUUUUUGUCUUUUGUAGUGAAUCAUGUCUUCUCAUGUUGUGUCCAAUCUAUAAUAGUUUUGAUUUACUCAUCUUGGCUUACAGGAGGAACUCUCAAUUGAUUUAUUCUGGGACUCAUUUAUUUGUCUUUCUAGCAGUCCAAGAUACCUGCGGAACUCUUCUCUGGCACCAGAUCUCAAAUGUGCUGAGUAUCGUCCUAUUAGCAGUCUUCUCUGUCCAGCUUUUACAACUGUACAUAGACAAUGAAAACGCAAUGGCAUGGAAAUUCAAAUAAUGGAUUGAAUAUAACUCCUCACCCACAUAGUAUGAUUAGAAUUUCAAGUUUAAACAACUAGGUUGACCAGCUUAAAAUGGAACAUUCUAGGACAGUGGCUCUCAACCUGGGGUCCCCAGAUGUUUUUGGCCUUCAACUCCCAGAAAUCCUAACAGCUGGUAAAUUGGCUGGGAUUUCUAGGCCAAAAACAUUUGUGGGCCCCAGACUGAGAACCACUGUUCUAGGAGCUAUCAAGCAAUGUAUCUAUCCAGCUUAUAGCAAUUAUGACAAGAGUCUUGAACUCAUGUUUUGAAAAAGAAACCUCUUAUUCCCUGAUGAUGUCAUCUCUCAUAAACUGAAUUGACUUUUAUUUCGAUGUACUGUUUAGUCAUCUGUAUCACUGGCAAGAUGCAGGAUGACUCAUGCUCAGAAGAUGAGUUAAUUGCAGCUUAUGGGUCCUGAGUGGUGACAUAUUUGUGCAUAUUCAAGAGAAAGCAAAGUUAGCAGACAGCGGCAGCAUCUGAAUGUAUUUUCCAGAGAAAGGCCAAAUGAGCAGAUCAUGGAGAUGGUUUUUUUUAUAUGUGGAAUGUCCCAAUAUGAAGAAGUUGCCAGAAGGUGCUUCCUAAUCACUCUUUAUGAAUUCUGAAAGAAAAAUAUUGCAAAGAUUGUUGUACAUCAGUCAUAUUCCACAGGCUAGUUAUGCUGUCCAGCUUCCUGUUUACAGCCCCACACCUUCCAAGUGUAUAGUGUAGCAUCUCUUUAUUCACUUGUCUUCCAGGCAUAGUCUUUUGGGUUUUUCUACUAAGAAUACGACCCCAGGUUCCAAUAGUGAAAGUAAAAAAACAAGUGUAUGUAUAUCUAAACUCUGAAUAAGAUUUAAAGCCUUAGGUGAUACUUCUGCCAGUCAAAAUAGCUCUCCUCCACUGAAAGAAAGAGAAAGAUUAGAGCAGUGCGUGCUUCCAGUAUAAAUUUCUAAUGUAUAAAUUUAUGCAAGUUGUCCAGCAUUAAAACUCCUGAAUUGGCCAGAAACGUAACUGUUUUUGAGGAGUAAUUAUACGUCAUUCUCCUGUUAUCGUUUUUCCUAAAUUUUAUUCCUGUACUUUCUGAAUGAAAUGGACCUUCUUUCAAAAUAUGAAUUAGGUUUCUGUUCGUGUUUCUCAGCACCUCUUCUGCUGCAUAUACUAAUAACACUGUAUGUAGAAAGGGUGGGUUGAAACUUGCUGGUGAAAGGUAGUUUCGUUAGCAAUGGUAUGGCUUCUUUUUUUUCAAAAAUGAAAGAUGCAGUUACUCAGGUGUGGAAAUGAGGCUAUUAGUGACUUGGGCCAACUUUGCAAGAGCAAGUAGAAUGAGGUGGGGAAGCCAAGGUAGACUACCCUCUCCCUACCUAUUCAAAUUGUAUUAAUAACUAUGCUUUUGGUUUAAAAAAGGCAAUAAAACAAAAGCUUUACUUAUUUAUUUUAAAAUCUCCAUCUACAAUAGAAAACUACAACAGGAAAUAAGGAGAUUUAAUCUAGAAUUUAAUUUUUUGGCCCUGUUUUGAAAGAGAGGUGGGUUAAUUUUUGUGCAGCCUGAAGUGAUUAUUCUACAAACUCAAUGUUCUGACCAAACCACACUAAAGACCUCAUCCCAUUGGAGGGGGGGGGGAGUGGGGAUUGUCUUCUUUGAAUGGCAUUUUAUGCGGUUCCAUCUUCAAAGAAGAUGGAGAAUGUACUCACCACCAUCACACAGGAUUGCCUCCUCCCCUUUCUAGCUCAACCAUCCACUUAAUUUCCCAUCACACAGGCUGGCAAUUAUCACAGUUUUAAAACACUACUUCCAAUUGGAUCUUCCCUUCUUCUCUUUGAAUUCUUCCUCUAGAGGAGACUAGCACAUGUCUCCUCAAAAUACUUCUUUCAAUGGGGCUCACACUGUCUUUAAACCAUGAAUGCACAGAAGAAUAGUGGAGGUGUUACGUCCCCCAGAGGUUUGGUUUGCGUUUUUUAUAGUUGUAGGAAUAGCAUCUGUUUGCAUUUGCUCCAGGGUUGCUGCAGAUUCUGCAGCAGUUUGAUAGUUAGGAUAUUAGCAGAGUUUAUAGCCAGUUUGCAAAGCCUUGCUGCUAUUGGCUUGAAAUGUAUCAUUUUGUUCUGGAGACCGCCCCUUUUCCUGGGGAUAGAAGGCUCCAUUUUGAGAAGCCUAUUCUGCCUUCUAGACAGCAUAGAUGUGCUUGUGUGGCCAAGCCAGGCCAACUCUGAAAAGGCCAUCAUACCUGUUUUUAGGUGUUUCUACACGCAUGCAAUGGAGUGGAGUGGAUUUGUGCCUGGCUUUGAAAUCCUCCCAUUUCUACAUGAUGUGGAGACAACUUCCAAUGCUGUGACGAUGAAGUCUCUGAAGCAACCACCAGAAGCAGUCCUGCAUCAUUUGAUGGGCUCCAUGGGAGUUUGUCUUUGAACCGUCUUUGAAGUGUGUAGAAACAGAGGAGGAAAAUUGUGUGAUGAAGUCCUAAGCAGAUUUGGUGGAUCCAAAUGAUUGACAUCAUUGGUUGCUGUCACAGGGUGUGGGGAACCUGUUGCCCCACACUCCACAUAGUCCAGCUUACUGGCUGGGUGAUCCGUCGACCAUCUAUCUAAGGCAACAUGGGAAGCCUCCUGUAUUGCUGCCAUGGUGACAUGCUCCAAGUCACCACCUCUUUAAACACAGAUACCCACUGGAAGUUGUACAUUGUGUAAUGGAAGCCCACGGGCACUGGGCUUAAUGGGCUAGUGAAGUGAAGCAUGAAGCUGAUUCUUCCCCCAUCUGAUGAGAUCAUUUGAAAUGGGAACUUGACACACUGUUGCACAGUGGCUUUAGUCCUUUUGAGAGAGAAAGGUACAAAAGGCGAUGAUGGGAGAUUCCUGUUUGAUUUCUUGGUCUUUGGCCUGUGUACCAUGACUCCUCCCCCAACUUUUGCUAAUGAUAUCCAACUCUAUUUGUCCUUUCCAUCCAAAUCCAAGGAACACAUUUAAUUUCAGAUUGAGUGUUAAACAGUGACAGUAAUGGACUAAUAAUGUUGAGUAUCAGUAAUAUGUAUGAUGAAUAAAUGUGAAACUUAAUCCAAACAAGACAUUGCCACUUUUUGUCAGUUAGAAGGGAGAUCGGAGAAUAGAGAUGCAACUGUCCUUCCACUCAAAAACAGGAUUUGCCAUUUCUGUAUACUCUCAGUUCCGACGCUGAAAUGAUAUUCCCAGUUUUAGUUGUGUUGACACAAUUGAACCUAAUGGACUUGGAUUUUUGUAAUGUAGUCUACAUAUGACUGCCUUUGAAGAAAAUCCAAAAUGUUGCUAACCAGAGCUGGUUAUAGGGAACAUAUAACUCCCUUGUUGCAGUGCCUUCAUUGGGUACUAGUCCAUUUGAGUGUCCAAAAUGGGCAAAAACCUUUUUGGGAUUUUUGAAACUAGAUUCUUCGGUAUAAGUCCCCCCAAGAUUUGUGAAUCUCACCGCCUUCAUAGGUAUGUUUGAUAAAGACACAAGUCUGUGCUAUUCCUUCAUCUACAUCAGACUGCCACUACAUUAUGAUAGUUUAAAAAUGAUAUUUUUUAUCUUAAAAUUAUUUUACAAUUUAUUAGUAGUAGUUCAUUUUAAUAAUAUAAUUUUAUAUAUUUAUAUUAUCUUUUCAUUGUACUUUUAUCAGAAACUUUAAUAGUGCUGGAAGCCACUUUGCAUCUCCCUAUGGGUAAUACAUCAAAUCAAAUCAUAUCAGUAAAUAGCCCAGGCACCUAGCAAGUGUUUAUGAAAUGCUUCACCCAAUAGAAUCUAUCAAGUUACUUUUGCUCAAAGCAAAAUUGGGAGGUUCCUCUCAGGAAGAAGCACUUGUGAGUUUAGAUGGAAACAGAAUGAAUUUCAAAAGACUAGGAAAAUGUCAAGAGUGGGUGGUCUAAACAUGCCUAAGCUUUGCUUCAAGAGAAAUGUUUAAGUCAAUUUGGAAGUUUCCUGCUUGAGAUGUAGCAUCAGGGGAAUUCUGAGGAAAACAAAAAAUUCAGUAAGUCAUUUAUACAUUUUCACAAGAACUCUACACAUUCCUCAUCUGGAGUGCUUGCAUUCAUUUCACAGUCAAGCCUGAUAUCACACACAUACACAAUGCUUCAGGGAUGAGUCUUUCAUGCCAAAUACAUAUUAGGAUAUUUUGGGAUCAAGUUAAGGUAGUCCUUGGUGUUUGCUGAGGUAGACACUGGGUCCUGAGUUUGAUUCCUGGAACUUGUGUAGAUGACAAAAUCCAUGGAUGAUCAAGUCCCAUUACUGUAUAUACAAUGGAAUCAUAAAAUUGUGCCUCUUAUAUGAAAUGAUAAAAUCAAUUUCACCAUAUUUUUGUGGGGAAGAUGUUCAAGCCAUGGAAAAUUGAAUCUGUGAAUGGUUGAAUCUGUGGAUCCAGAGGGCUGACUAUAAUGUUCAAACAUUUGAAUUAACAAGAAUUCUCUUCAUCUGGCAAGACUGCAAACCAAGCAAGAAUGUUAGCAAUGUUUGCAUCCUGUACUCACUGACUGCCAAUUUUCAUCUAGACUGGAUACCUGUACGCUUUUUUCACAUCCUCUCUCUUCUUGCAUCACUUUAAUCUUCUGCCAUUUUAUUCUCUCCUCUCUCUCCUAAAUUACACAUUUUUUUCAUUAUGCACAAGUAAUUUGUAGGUAAGUGCACUUUAUAUGCUUUACAAAAUAGACUAUGCUUAUUUCUUUCUCCACUAGACUCUAUCUGGAUGUGAAACAAGUUGUUGUUCAACUUUUGUUUUGGGAAUUUGAUUACUCUGCUAGAGAAAUCCAGUGAGAUCUGUCACAUUCCCCCUGCCCACAAAAAGCUGUAGCAGGAACUGGUCACCAUUCAACUCAGGGAAGUCUUAAAGGGUUCUACUAUUAAAGUUCAUUCAUAUUAGAUUGUUUAUGUAGACACCCCAAGUACUGAAAUUGUUUCAGAUUUCAUCUAGGAUUGCUGGAAUAAAGAAACAAACCAUAAAAAUAAACUUCUAAAAUAAUGCAUCAGAAAAUCUAUUUAUUUAAAUAUGUAUGCUUGUUCUAUUAUUAGAGGAGUUCAUGGUGAUGACAUAAAAUUAAAAAUAAGAAUUUAAAACCAUACAUUUGCUUGAACAACAUAAAAAUGACUUGAACAUGACAACAGGUUUUUUUAAAAAAACAUAAAGUACCAGAACAGUUGAAAACAUAUACUUGUCAUGGAAUCAAUCAGAUCUCCAGACUGUUGGAGUGCAAUGGUCAAGAAAGCCAUCUCCCAUGUUCUUCCACCACGACAUUGCCAUUUAGGUGGGACAUGGAUGAAGAUCCUCCUCCUGGCAGAUCCCAAGCUUCAGAAAAACUCCCUCAACUAUUUCAGUCCCAAGUCAUUUAGAGCUUUAAAUAUCGCCACUGGAACCACUAUCAAAAUGGCAGCCAACGGAGCCUCUUUAAGACCAGUGUUAUGUGUUGUCUAUAUAGUUCAGUAAUGAUCUUGCUGCUGUAUUUGUUUCUGAAUCAUCUUUAGGGGCAGUCCCAUACGGAGCACAUUAUAGUCAUCGAAUUGGAACAAUGUGGAGAUUACUAGGUUAUCCCUGUCCAGGAAAGGCCAGCCAAUGCUGAUGGAAAAUCCUCUGAACCAGAGUGUUUAUUUGAGCCUCAAAUGACAAAGCUGGAUUACUCCCAAUCUAUGCACCUGUUCUUUCAUGCAGCCCAACCAGAGCAGGUAGCAUAUCCAAAUAGCAGGUUCAAAAAGCAUCUUAUUAGGACUCAAUUUUAGGGUUUUUUGCCCAUGUGCAGCCCAUUAUAGUAUCCAAGUACUGAGGCAACACCUGCACAGCUCCACAUAACAAGGAGAAAUAAAGGGUGCUUCAAAGUGAUGGAUCCAAUUUCAAAGCAGUAUAUUUCAUGAUGGCAAGCUGUUACAAUUACACAAAAAGGCAUCUAGUGGUAAUCAUUGGAAAUGAUGCCCCACUCUUUUAAGUAGUAAGGUUUUCAUUUAUGGAUGGUUCAUGGUUGCGGAAAUAUAAUGAUUUCAAAUAGAGUCCAUCUUUUUGAAACACUCUGAAGAGUUGUUGGGCAUAGUGAUGCCAUUUUAGUUCACUUUUCAAAUUAUAUACAUAAAAUGAAAGUUUUCUUGGGCACAAGGGAACUUCAAAAUACAUAUUAGGAGACCAUAAUGAACCAAAGAUGCAGACGACAAAAUAGCCAGUGUUGUCUAAAUCAUGUAGUAAGAGUACUUGCAAUACUAAUUCCCAAUAUUAAAAAUAUUAUGAAGCAAACAGACUGAGAUUGAUUAUAGAACGAAUUAUAAAUAAGUAGGAUAUAGAAUAGCUAAAAAUGGAUUCAAAAAAAGUAGAGGAAGAAAUUUGGAAUAUCUUUUAAAGAGUUUACGAGAGAGAAAAAUAGAGAAAUUGGUAACCCACUGUUGAGUAAUGUAGUAGAUAAAUGGAAAAAUACAAGAGAAAGUUAAUAGCAGAAGACUCAACGUUAAUCCCAAUUAUAAUGGAAAGGAAAUUUCCAAAAAAUAUUAUAUAAUGGAUAAAAUAUUAAGGGGAAAAUAUGGAUAAAAUAGGGGAUUGGGUAAACGUUGGAACGAAGAAGGAAAGGAUUAUAGAAGAAUUCAGAGAAAUAACAUUUUCAUGGUUCCAUUGUAUUCAGCUAGAACAAUGGUUCAAAAACUGGGUAAAAAUAAUAAUAAUAGAAGUAAGCUUAAUCCAUUUGAUCAAAUAAUACAAAAUGGAAUGGAUAUAGAGGAACAUAAAAAUCUGAAAGCAAUAUCUAGCAAAAUAUACAAGAUAUCAAAUGAAAUAAAGGAAGGAAAAAUAAAGAAUAAAACUCUCAAGGAGAUUUGGGAAGAAGAUUCAGGGAUGAAAAUAAAUGAAAUGGAGGGGUCACCGUUACAGACACAAAGACAUUUGAAAAAAUUAUCAAUAUGAGUUAAAGAAAAUUAUUAUAUGUUGAUAUUGAAAUGCUAUCUAACACCAAUAAAAAUAGCAAAUAUAAACAAAAACUAUUCCAAAAAUUGUUGGAUAGGAUGCUAAGAAGCGGAACAUAUACACAUAUGUGGUGGCAAUGUAAAUAUGUAAAUAAUUUUUGAAGAAAGGUAUCCAAAGAGAUAGAGGAUAUAAUGAACAUCAAAAUAGAAAGAAGUCCUAGCAUAGCUUUAUUAUCAUUACACAAUAAUAAAUAGCUGAAAAAAGAAGAAAAAGAUGUGAUAUCAAAUUUAUUAACAAUAGCAAGACUGCUUACAGCAAGGAAUUGGAAAAGGGAAAGAAAUAUACAAAUAGAAGAGUGGUAUAAGGAAGUAUGGAAAUUGGCAAUAAAUGAUAAGCUGACAUGUAAAUUAAAAAUUAAAAGAGGGAUAUAGAAACAAAAUGAUUUUGAUGAUGUCUGGAAAAAUGUAUUGAAAGAGGAUUCAAAAAGAAAGACGGAAAGUUACCAGCAUGUGAAGAAAUUAAAUUUUGGACAGAUGACAUAUAAAAGAAAUGGCUCGGGGGGAGGAGAGCACGGUGGUGAUGGAUGGAAAAUAUGUAUAGGUGUGAAAAUAACAGUAGAUGCAACAACAACAACAACAAUAAUGUAUUGUAAAAUGUAUUGAACAACAUUAUGUGUUUACUGUAUAACAAAUGAUGUAUAACAAAUGUUUUUAACUGUGAUAAAAUAAAUAUUUUUCUAAAAAACAA